UUUAUUUUAAUAGUAAAAUCUUCAUUAACCAUGAGUUGCAUUUCAUUUAAUCCCGACAGAACUACAGGAGACUUGUGAAGGAAGAAAAGAGCUUUCCUUGAUCACUGUCUGGCAUCUACGAAAGGCCUUGAUUACUCAUUAUUAUAAUUCUAAAUUACUGAUUCUAAUCCUCCAUGUGCUGAAGCUCUCAAAGAAUUUUCAGUGAAAUCUGAACUACUGAAAUGUGAACAAUACAGACAGGCAUAACUGCUGAUACUUUUGUCAAUAUUGGUUCCAUUUCAAGUUCUGAAAGGCAGUAAGUUCUUUCUAGAGCAUCAUCUUUAGUAGGCAGCUCAUGCAACACAUUCUGAUGGAGCUCAGCAGGAGGAGGGGAACUGCUCCUCACCUUGUUGGUCAUGGUUAGGCCAUGCUGAAUUAAGAAUAUGGCAAAAGGGUUGUCCUUAAGUUUCUGAAGUUAAUUCACCCAAAGGGAACAAUCUAGAUAAAUUAAUACCUACAUUCAGUUAAUCUAACUAAUUUGUUCAACAUUUAGAUAUAGUGAGAAAGAUGUAGUUUAUGAAUAUACAUGACACAUUUACUUUGUUGACUGGGUAAUCGUAUUCAAGAUCUGAAAAUAGACAUAUUUUUACCUUUCCUAUUAUAUUCCGACCUCUCUGAUUUACAUUACGAAUCAUUAAAAACUAUUAUAAUGACAACACUAAAACCUAGACUCUCUGAAGAAUUAAAGCUAUCUUUAUUCAAUUAAUUAUAUAAUAAAUAAUAAAUUAGACGUAUAUUAUUUAAUUCUAUUUAAAUGAAAGCUAUGCUAUAUUAAAAUUGAAUUUAUACCUUAAUAAAAAAAUAUUAACAGAAAGCCUUCCUGUUUUGGAAGUGUCAAAGGAAAAGGAUACUUAGGGAUAUACACAGUAACUGAAACUACAGUGACUUAAAGUAAAAACCAGAAAAAACUAACAUUCUAGCAGAAACCCACAGGGAACUGUUCUACAUCCACCUGGUGUAUUUCAACUCAGAGGUCCUUCUUUUUGCUUUACUACUUGUUUUGUCUUUGCUUAUAACCAGGAGAUAAUUGGUAACUGGUUGUUGUAUACAUUUAUCAUGUAAAAUCUGAAAGAGUGCAUCCAAAAGCAUGACUGUGAAGCGAGUGCUGCGCAUCAAUCAUGAUUUUCGAAUAUUUCACUGUCAGAAAAAGUUGUUUCAGCAGCAUGUUUACUUUUUGUAAAUGGAUGCUAAGAAAGACUUACAAAAAACACUCACUGAAGAGAGGAAGCAGAAUAUGACUUUUAAUUACAAUUCUUAUUUUUCAAAUGCUCCAAUUCUAUGUUCUGCGUCAAAGAGAAAUAUUUCAUUUUCAUGUGCAAUGCUGUCAAUGGAUUGCAAAGACUUACAUUCUCAAUUUCAUGGUUGCUCGCCUUAAUACAAUGUACUAAGGUCAGAACUGAGAUAAAAACAAGUACACUGAGAGCAAACACUGUUUUGGAAAUCACAGUAUAUUCACUGGUUUUCUCAUCUUGUUUCAAUCAUAGUAAAAAUCUGCCUAAAACAAGCAUCUUCUAAGUCCUUUAAAAUCUUUGUAGAUGUGUGCUCUUACAAUAAUAUAUUCUUCAGCAACAAAAACCUAGUUGGGAUCUGUUGACAAAUAAAAGUUCACAUUCAAAUAUCUUUAGAGGAAAAUCCUCCCAGAGGUACUGAAACCUUCACUGCUCAGAUGCUAAAAAGGGGGGGAAAAAAAAAAGCAAGCUUAAUUUAAAACCAAAGAAUGAGUAAAUACGGAUAUUAGUUUUGGCCUCAGAAAAUCCUUUAAUCCAUCAGAUUUUUGCGUAUCACUGAAAGUAUGCAAGGAAUCAGAUGAUGGUUUUCAUCCUCGGCCAAGUACUGCAAUCAUAAAAGCAUGUAUUUAAGAACUGUUGGUUUUU
rnacentral:lncRNA from 1 species